GACGAACGCUGGCGGCGUGCUUAACACAUGCAAGUCGAACGAAGUGGCGAACGGGUGAGUAACGCGUAAUCAACCUGCUCUUCAGAGGGGGACAACAGUUGGAAACGACUGCUAAUACCGCAUACUGAAGGAGUUGAUUGCGUCUGAUUAGCUAGUUGGAGGGGUAACGGGCCACCAAGGCGAUGCUCAGUCGCCUGUCUGAGAGGGUGAACGGCCAACAUGGGAAUGGGGACAGGCCCAGACUGCUAAGGGGGGCAGCAGUGGGGAAUCUUCCGAAAUGGACGAAAGUCUGACGGAGCAAAGCCGCGUGAGUGAUGACGGCCUUCGGGUUGGAAAGCUCUGUUAAGCGGGAAGCGGUACCGGAAUAGAAAGCAACGGCUAACUACGUGCCAGCAGCCGCGGUAAUAC
rnacentral:rRNA from 1 species